rnacentral:rRNA from 1 species
UACGUAGGGGGCAAGCGUUGUCCGGAUUUAUUGGGCGUAAAGCGCGCGUAGGCGGCGCGGUAUGUCGUGCGUGAAAUCUCCCGGCUUAACUGGGGGGGGCCGUGCGAAACUGCCGGGCUUGAGGUCGGAAGGGGAAAGUGGAAUUCCGGGUGUAGUGGUGGAAUACGUAGAUAUCCGGAGGAACACCAGCGGCGAAGGCGGCUUUCUGGUCCGAUACUGACGCUGAGGUGCGAAAGCGUGGGGAGCAACAGGGAUUAAGAAACCCG